UAGUCCACGCCGUAAACGAUGUGUGCUAGUUGUCGGGUCUUAUGGAUUCGGUGACGCAGCUAACGCAUUAAGCACACCGCCUGGGGAGUACGGUCGCAAGAUUAAAACUCAAAGGAAUUGACGGGGACCCGCACAAGCGGUGGAGCAUGUUGUUUAAUUCGAAGCAACGCGAAGAACCUUACCUACACUUGACAUACUUGUCGCGGAUUACAGAGAUGUUUUCCUUCGGUUCGGCCGGACAAUGUACAGGUGCUGCACGGCUGUCGUCAGCUCGUGUCGUGAGAUGUUUGGUUAAGUCCAGCAACGAGCGCAACCCCUAUCGUAUGUUACCAGCAUUUAGUUGGGGACUCAUGCGAGACUGCCGGUGUUAAGCCGGAGGAAGGUGGGGACGACGUCAAGUCAUCAUGGCCCUUACGUGUAGGGCUACAAACGUGCUACAAUGGAGACUACAGUGGGCAGCGACAUAGCGAUAUGAAGCUAAUCCCUAAAAGUUUUCUCAGUUCGGAGU
rnacentral:rRNA from 1 species